UGCCAGCAGCCGCGGUAAUACGGAGGGUGCAAGCGUUGUUCGGAAUUAUUGGGCGUAAAGAGCAUGUAGGCGGACUGUUAAGUCUGAUGUGAAAGCCCGGGGCUCAACCCCGGAAGUGCAUUGGAUACUGGCGAACUUGAGUACGGGAGAGGAAAGUGGAAUUCCGAGUGUAGGGGUGAAAUCCGUAGAUAUUCGGAGGAACACCAGUGGCGAAGGCGGCUCACUGGCUCGAUACUGACGCUGAGGUGCGAAAGCGGGGGGAGCAAACAGGAUUAGAUA
rnacentral:rRNA from 1 species